rnacentral:rRNA from 1 species
CCCCUAGAUGUUCUGGGCCGCACGCGCGCUACACUGAACAGUUCAACAAGUCUUAACCUUGGCCGAUAGGUCUGGGUAAUCUUUGAACGCUGUUCGUGAUUGGGAUAGACCUUUGCAAUUAUGGGUCUUCAACGGGGAAUUCCUAGUAAACGCAAGUCAUCAGCUUGCAUUGAUUACGUCCCUGCCCUUUGUACACACCGCCCGUCGCACCUACCGAUUGAAUGGUCCGGUGAAAUCUCGGGACGGCGGCUUGGUCGCUUGCGUCCGACUGCUGAAACUUGAUUAAACCAUAUCAUUUAGAGGAAGGUGAAGUCGUANCA